GCACAAACCAGCGUUGCUGAGGCCUCCUAACUCAUGCCCAGAAGCUGCCUGGCUGCCCUUGCUUUGCGACCACGCUGUUACAAGGAUCUCCAGAGGCCUGGGCAUGCCAACAGCCUGACCCACAUCACUCCUGCCCCUGCUGCCCUCAACAGAGGGGUGCAGUGGGUCCGACAGGAAUGGGAACUCAGGAGCAGUGUGUGGGCAUCAGCUCCCAGGAGCCACCCUUAAGCCUUUUCAACUACCUCACCUUAAUGGAGGAGGCUCUUUAUCAACUCCAAUAGCAUUUAAAUUGUGUUUAACAGACUCAGCUGCUAAAGCCCCUCCUGGAAAUGUUCUCUCUUCAUAUUUUAAAUUCUAUCAUCCUUAUGUGGAAAUUAACAACUAUGUGGAGAUGGUCUAAUUGCAUAGUGCUUCGGUUGAGCUAGAAUCAACAUUUCCUUAACUUCUUAUUAAGCCUAUCAUGAAGGUGCAUAUAUUUUGGAGGUCACAUUGUUAGCAUGAUGUGCUUGGCUUCAUGUCCUAAGGAAGUGCUCAAAAGAUACUAACACACGCUGAAUUGAAGGAAAGAAUGAAGAUGCUGCUAUGAAGCCCAAGAAUUUUAAGUCUGUUAAAAUUUAACUAUAAAACCUUGGUUGCUGAACCAUCUGCUUUUAAUCUUCCUAUUGCUAUGCAGUCUUUUGGGGACGUGGGCUUGGCAGCAGAUUUCCAGAUCGCUAAAUUAAUCUUGUCAGCUUCAGGAAGCACCAGAAAACCCUUGGGAGGUGGAUUCUGUGCUCAGUUACACCUGUGUGAACUCACCUCCCUUGGCUAGCACGGUGAUGCUACAUUUUCUCUGUAGAACUGUGCAGUGAAAUAUCUAGACACAUUGAUCUGCAAACUAAAAUCUAGCUGGAUUACUUGUCCAAAGCCUCUUAUGGGUAAAUGGCUGUGGAAUAUUUGAAACAAUCUGCAUUAUCAUCAGGCAGUCUCAAAUAUCCAUGUGGAUAUUGAAUAAAAAUGCUUAGCAACAUCUCAAUAACGAGUCUUUUACGGCAAUACAUUUUUUGGAUGAGCCACUGGCUUAUGUGUGGAUGAGACAUCCUCACUGCAGCCCUGUUCUGUCAGCAAGGGCUGUCAAUAGGUACGUGGCCUGAUCAAAACAGCCAUAGCAAAGACUGCAAGCACAGAGUCUCUCUCUAAAAAAACUCAAAGAGUUAAACCUGCUUCAAGUUCCUCAUAUUUGGAUGGCAGGCAGAGCUGGAAGCUGGCUUUAGACACCUGUUGACUUCAGAAAAUAACCAUGUAGAAACUAUAAUUUCUUAAUGGCCAUGUCCAACAGCAUGACAACUGCUUAACAAAUAAUGCAAGAGAGAUGGCUGUUGCUACUGGAGGCUUUGCUGGUACUUCACUGUAGCAGAAGGUGCCACCUCUGCAUUUUUGGCCUUCUCAUUUAAAGGCUACAGCUCAGUGGAUACCACUGAGCAGUGUGAAGGCGUGGUGGUGAAGGUCUGGGGAGCCCUCGUGCCUGAGCUGGGCUGGGGGCCGCAGCGGGCACUCCUGGCACUGCAGCGGCUCUGCAGCUGCCUCUGCCCCCGAGGAGCUGCCUGGCAGCUCUUGCAACAGCUGAAGGAUUUUAUUAGAAAGCUGUGUUUCUGAAGCCCUGCUCUGCAUCUGUACUUUGUUUAGCUGCAGAGUGUCUCCCCAGAACAUUUUCAGGCUCCACGUGUCUCUCUAGAUGUAAAAGACCUGCACAACUCCCUCGUGCUGGGAAUCUCCUGACACUUGCUGAAUAAGCCACUCCUGUGGGGCUGGAUCCCUUUGGAGCUUUGCCCUGGAGUAGUUGCGGUGGAGCCCCAGCAGCACAAAGGGGGAAGCAGAAUUUCCAUGUUGUUUUUCUUUUUCAAUUCUCAGGGAAAAGCCUUUAGAAAAAUUCUGUCAGUCUCAGUUGUGAAGUCUGACGUACAGCCUAAAAAUAGCAUUUUGGUGUGAGCUGAGAGUGUCUACAAUGAAUUGACUGGAGGAACAGAAGUUGGCAAAUCCACACUGCUCAACAUUUCCAAAACUAAUUUUCCACCUCAAGUCUCCCCUUCCUUUUCCCUGUGCUGUUUAAACAGGAAUGUAAAAAGAAACUGUUAAGGAAACCCACAUAUGUAAUUGUUAGGGGAGGAAGAAAGUUUUGUGGCUGAGAAACAGGAGAAGAGCCAGAUGAUCUUGUUACUUCUCCUGCCACAGACUUACGUGACCUUGGCAAGCCGACAUUUCCCAGAUCAUUGACUAAUAUUGGCUGUUCGUUCCUUGGACACUCAGUGUGGGACAGUUCGGACGGGUGUUUUCAGAAGUGUUGAGCAGCCAGAUUUCCACUGGGUUGCUCAAAAUAAGAAGAUAAAUUUUUCAGCUCUGCUCCUGAACUUUCCGUUCCUCUAUCUAAAGUGAUGAAAGUUGCCUCCUCUGAGAAGGGAGUGAUGGUAGCUGGGACUGCAGUUGGGCACUGGCCAUGGAGCUGUGAUCUUUCAUACCAGCCAGCAUCUGUCCUUGUUGUCCCAGAUUUCCUCAUCUGCAGGAUAUUCCAUCCUGAAGAGUCAACAGUGAGUUCCUGUAUUGAAAAAAAACCCUGUGCCCAGAGGAGUGGGGGAAUAGUAAGGCUCCUGAACUGUACAGUCCCCCCAUUAUACUCCUAUUUCUUGAGAGAGUUAUAUUUCUGAAGUGCAAUUUGCUGUGUUUUGUGUCUAAUUUCUACGUGAGUAGAUGGAGUCCAGUGCAGGACGAUGAGGGAUCUCUGCUGGGUAAAGACAAGCGACGAAGCCACCAUUCCCUAGAAGGGAAAAGAAGAGGUUGUUUGUAUCCUGCACCUUCCCAAAUCACAAGGGAAGACUUUGAAGUACAAAAAUAGUUGCUGUAUUAUACACAUAUUGUAGGAUGUUUACCACUGGAGACUAAUGCCUAAACAAUGAAUUUCCAAGCCACUCCAAAUGUGAUCCAGCUUUAUCCUAAACAGUCAAGAAAAAAAUCCUGAUUACAACAAAUGAAACUCUGCUAUUUGUUUUCUUUUCACAGUUGGAGAUUCUGUACACACAGAGAAGUUGCUUGGGGUCUGAAAGUGUUUAUCCUGCCAAAAAUAAAUGUUCUAAAAAUGA